AGAUUGAACGCUGGCGGCAGGCCUAACACAUGCAAGUCGAGCGGCAGCACGGGUACUUGUACCUGGUGGCGAGCGGCGGACGGGUGAGUAAUGCCUAGGAAUCUGCCUGGUAGUGGGGGAUAACGCUCGGAAACGGACGCUAAUACCGCAUACGUCCUACGGGAGAAAGCAGGGGACCUUCGGGCCUUGCGCUAUCAGAUGAGCCUAGGUCGGAUUAGCUAGUUGGUGAGGUAAUGGCUCACCAAGGCGACGAUCCGUAACUGGUCUGAGAGGAUGAUCAGUCACACUGGAACUGAGACACGGUCCAGACUCCGUACGGGAGCAGCAGGUGGGAAUAGUUGGACAAGUGGGACGAAAGCCUAGAUCCGAGCCAUCGCCGCGUGGUGUAGAAGUAAGGUCUUCGGAUUAGUAAAGCUAACGUUUAAGGUUGGGAGGAAGGCUAGUUAACUAAGUACGUAUCUUAGUUU
rnacentral:rRNA from 1 species